UGGCUUUUGGGCUGUCGCAGAUGGAUGAGCCUGCGUUGGAUUAGCUAGUUGGUGAGGUAAGGGCCUACCAAGGCUACGAUCCAUAGCUGAUUUGAGAGGAUGAUCAGCCACAUUGGGACUGAGACACGGCCCAAACUCCUACGGGAGGCAGCAGUGAGGAAUAUUGGACAAUGGGGGCAACCCUGAUCCAGCAAUGCCAUGUGUGUGAAGAAGGCCUUAGGGUUGUAAAGCACUUUAGUUGGGGAAGAAAGCUUUGAGGUUAAUAGCCUUGAGGAAAAGGACGUUACCCAAAGAAUAAGCACCGGCUAACUCCGUGCCAGCAGCCGCGGUAAUACGGGGGGUGCAAGCGUUAAUCGGAAUUACUGGGCGUAAAGGGUCUGUAGGUGGUUUGUUAAGUCAGAUGUGAAAGCCUAGGGCUCAACCUUGGAACUGCAUUUGAUACUGGUAAACUAGAGUACGGUAGAGGAAUGGGGAAUUUCUGGUGUAGCGGUGAAAUGCGUAGAGAUCAGAAGGAACACCAAUGGCGAAGGCAACAUUCUGGACCGAUACUGACACUGAGGGACGAAAGCGUGGGGAUCAAACAGGAUUAGAUACCCUGGUAGUCCACGCUGUAAACGAUGAGUACUAGCUGUUGGAGUCGGUGUAAAGGCUCUAGUGGCGCAGCUAACGCGAUAAGUACUCCGCCUGGGGACUACGGCCGCAAGGCUAAAACUCAAAGGAAUUGACGGGGACCCGCACAAGCGGUGGAGCAUGUGGUUUAAUUCGAUGCAACGCGAAGAACCUUACCUGGUCUUGACAUCCUGCGAUCUUUCUAGAGAUAGAUUGGUGCCUUCGGGAACGCAGUGACAGGUGCUGCACGGCUGUCGUCAGCUCGUGUUGUGAAAUGUUGGGUUAAGUCCCGCAACGAGCGCAACCCCUA
rnacentral:rRNA from 1 species